GAUGAAGAACGCAGCGAAAUGCGAUAAGUAGUGUGAAUUGCAGAAUUCAGUGAAUCAUCGAAUCUUUGAACGCACAUUGCGCCCCUUGGUAUUCCGAGGGGCAUGCCUGUUCGAGCGUCAUUACACCACUCAAGCUAUGCUUGGUAUUUGGCGUCGUCCUUAGUUGGGCGCGCCUUAAAGACCUCGGCGAGGCCACUCCGGCUUUAGGCGUAGUAGAAUUUAUUCGAACGUCUGUCAAAGGAGAGGAACUCUGCCGACUGAAACCUUUAUUUUUCUAGGUUGACCUCGGAUCAGGUAGGGAUACCCGCUGAACUUAAGCAUAUCAAUAAGCGGAGGA
rnacentral:misc_RNA from 1 species